GCCUGGGUGGCUCAGUUGGUUGAGUGUCUGACUUCGGCUCAGGUCAUGAUCUUAUGGUUCAUGGGUUCGAGUCCCAUGUCGGUCU
rnacentral:tRNA from 1 species